UACGUAGGGCGCAAGCGUUGUCCGGAAUUAUUGGGCGUAAAGAGCUCGUAGGCGGCCAGUUGCGUCUGCUGUGAAAUCCCGGGGCUCAACCCCGGGCGUGCAGUGGAUACGGGCUGGCUAGAGGCAGGCAGGGGAGAACGGAAUUCCGGGUGUAGCGGUGGAAUGCGUAGAGAUCCGGAAGAACACCGGUGGCGAAGGCGGUCUGCUGGGGUAAUGCUGACACUGAUGCGCGAUAGCGUGGGGAGCAAACAGG
rnacentral:rRNA from 1 species